rnacentral:rRNA from 1 species
UACGUAGGUUCCGAGCGUUAUCCGGACUUAUUGGGCGUAAAGCGAGCGCAGGCGGUUAGAUAAGUCUGAAGUGAAAGGCUGUGGCUUAACCAUAGUAUGCUUUGGAAACUGUUUAACUUGAGUGCAGAAGGGGUGAGUGGAAUUCCAUGUGUAGCGGUGAAAUGCGUAGAUAUAUGGAGGAACACCGGUGGCGAAGGCGGCUCUCUGGUCUGUAACUGACGCAGAGGCUCGAAAGCGUGGGGAGCAAACAGG